rnacentral:rRNA from 1 species
UACGGGGGGGGCAAGCGUUGUUCGGAAUUACUGGGCGUAAAGGGCUCGUAGGCGGCCAACUAAGUCGGACGUGAAAUCCCUCAGCUUAACUGGGGAACUGCGUUCGAUACUGGAUGGCUUGAGUUUGGGAGAGGGAUGCGGAAUUCCAGGUGUAGCGGUGAAAUGCGUAGAUAUCUGGAGGAACACCGGUGGCGAAGGCGGCAUCCUGGACCAACACUGACACUGAGGAGCGAAAGCCAGGGGAGCAAACGGG